AAUUCCCUGUUUUGCUUUUAGGUUGGAGACUACAUAAGACUUUGACAGUUGGCGGGAAACCAUCAUCAACUGGAGAGAUGCCGGAAGAGGAAUGUCUGCGACUAAGUCAAGGGCCACUGGAUAAGGGUUGUUGAUGGCAAAACAGGUUGGAGACUACAUAAGACUUUGACAGUUGGCGGGAAACCAUCAUCAACUGGAGAGAUGCCGGAAGAGGAAUGUCUGCGACUAAGUCAAGGGCCACUGGAUAAGGGUUGUUGAUGGCAAAACAGGUUGGAGACUACAUAAGACUUUGACAGUUGGCGGGAAACCAUCAUCAACUGGAGAGAUGCCGGAAGAGGAAUGUCUGCGACUAAGUCAAGGGCCACUGGAUAAGGGUUGUUGAUGGCAAAACAGGUUGGAGACUACAUAAGACUUUGACAGUUGGCGGGAAACCAUCAUCAACUGGAGAGAUGCCGGUAAAAAGAUGGCCAUAAAACAGUGACCGCUGAUUCGCAUUGAGUUCUUUCUUACAUAUUGGAUGACCUAUGUUUUUUAUUGUUUAAAUCAUUGCGGCUUGGAAUGCUCUUUAAGAAAAGGAAGAGGAAUGUCUGCGACUAAGUCAAGGGCCACUGGAUAAGGGUUGUUGAUGGCAAAACAGGUUGGAGACUACAUAAGACUUUGACAGUUGGCGGAAA